rfam:Sodalis praecaptivus strain HS1, complete genome.
ACCUUCCAGGUUGCAGCCUGAUUUAGGCUGAUGGCUGGUGGCUUUUGGGUCACCAGCCU